rnacentral:lncRNA from 1 species
AACAUUACACCACUUUUAUCAUAUACUUUAUAACUCAUCACUUUACAGCCAAGCUCGAAGUGGCCUCCCGUAGCGAAUUCGCGUCGUCCCACCGAAAGCGCCCCCCCCUCAAAACACCAUUUUUAUCACAUACUUUAUAACUCAUCACUUUACAGCCAAGCUCGUGGCGAACUCGCGUCGUCCCACCGAAAGCGCCCCAAAAAAAACAACCAUGGAUUCUACGGAUCUGACUUUGGUCUUCACUCCCGAGCUUCGCAAUCCCCGUGUCGCCGCACGCGAAGUCACCACCCCGCGCCAGCAAUCCAUUCCUGCAAAGACAUUACACCUCUCCGCGAGCGAACAAAAAAAAUGAUGAACAGAAAAGAGUCAGAAAUCUGUCAGGCCGCAAGGUCCCAACAGUGCGAAGGAGGACGGGGCACGCGAGGCGAGCUGAGGCACAUCCUUCUCGGCUAGUCAAGGACGGCGUGCACGACCUUCUCUGGCGAGUCAAGGGUGACACUGGUGAGCUCCGCCCAGGCAAGGGCGGUGCGGCUCGGCCUUCUCCCACGAGGUGGGGGCGUGGCACGCGGGUGACCUCCGCCCCAGAAGC